AUGAUUUGAGAUGGAUGGGUGGUUAAGAUUUUUAUCAUGCCUCUUUUGCUUUCCUCUUGAAGCUCAUCCUUUUUUUCCAAAUCUCAAAACCUAGCCACUCCUCUCUUAAAAAUCCCUUUUAAAAACUCUAAAACUUUCUAUUCUUGUCACUGUCUGCAUCCCAGGCCGCAUCUAAGCCACUUGCAUGCAUGUGUACCGCAUCCUCGCACCCGCAUGAAGUGCACUCUUGCAUCCACUCGCUGGCUCCCAUGCUCACGCCUGCAUGAAGCACGCCUUUGAUCAGACCUACUCAGUGUGCUUGCACCUGACCGCACCCC
rnacentral:lncRNA from 1 species